CAGAGUCGGAUCCCAGGGCGGGCCCAGACUGCAUCCCGGAUAAGCUUCCCCGGGCCCCACUGUGAGGAAGGAGGCACUGCCCCAGGACACCCAAGCUGGAGGCUUGGCCAAAGCUCCUACCCAGAGGGGUGACACACGGCGCCUGGCCCGUCCACUGCGUGAGAUACGUGUUUGUCCCUCCUGCAUCUGGGACAGCCGAGUGCUGGACGCCUUCCGUGACAGACACCUAAGUGGUCUCCAGCGCCAUGAGGUGUCCCGCUCAGUUUCUCAGGAUGAGGAAGCCAGGAGGGGAAAUGCCAGGUGGUAGCGACCUUAACUUCUCCUCCUCCUCCUCUUCCUCCUCUUCCUCCUCUUCCUCAAUUUUGAGAUGAUAUUUUGCUACCAUAAGUCACUAAGUUGCCAGGCUGGACUCAGACAUGUGAUCCUCCGGCCUCAGCCUCCCCCACAAUGCUGAAAUCACAGGAAUGUGUCACCCUGUGCCAGCUCAUGUGCCUCAGUUCCUGAUGGCUCCCAAAGCCCUGGGAAGCACUCAGCAGAGGCGCAGGCUGGGGUGCGGAGGGUUGGGGGACUGACCCUCCGCCACCCAGCCAGUCAUCAGUGGAACCCGGAUGAGAAUGCAGGCGUCCUGAGCCCUCCUCCAGGUUCUGCCCGCUGUGGUUCGCUGGGCCCAGAGUGCGGCUGGAAGAGAUGGCCUUUCCCUAGUCACAGCAUCCGGUGUCCGGGAGAGAUCUGGGAAGGGUUUGGUUUUUGUUUUGCUUCUUUAAUCACCUUUACUGAGUUUUAAUUAGCACAUAAUAAAAUGCUCCCCCUUCGGUGAGUAUUUCCAGGCGUCCACACCGGUGUCACCACCGUGCCGAGCCUGACUCAGGUGUGUCUGGGGCCGGUGUUGGACUGGAUCGGUCCUUUCCCGUCUCUGCGUCCAGUGCGUGUCCUUGGAGCUGCUCCGCAGUGCUGAGGUCCUUGUGGCCCGGGCCUUGGGCGGAUCCGGUGGGGGUGCUCGCGUCCCCGGCUCCCACUGUGGCCUCCAGGGCCCUCCUGGUGCCUCAGCCUCGCGGAUGAGGUCGGCAUGAGGUCAGCAUCUGAGGCCGCGCCUGGGCCAUGGUUGUGUUUCCGUGGAUCCCCGACUCCUACAGCGGUGCGGGGUCAGCAGGAGGCUUUACCCGACCCUCGGACUGUUGAAAGGAUGCUACGUCGUUUUCAGUCUCUCACGUGGUGUUGAUCGUCGAGCCCAGGAGUCUGCUGUGGCUGUCAUUUUCCCUUCGUUUCUCCUGCUGCUGUGGGCCAGAAGGAGAAUCCGCACCACUGUGGAAUGACAGAAUACCGGGCUCUGCCACUGCUUGUGCUGACACAAAAGUACAUGAAAACGCACAGCCACAGGCGUGCACACACGGGCACACACACGGGCACACACACGCGUGCACCAGGGGUGCGCUCCACUCACACCUCCUCAACACAACCUGAAGCCGCUUGCAGACCCGAUGGUAAACAAGAAGCAGGAAGAGGAAGCUCUUGAGGAAACGGCCAACACCGCCCCGCGAGAAUGAGGCCGAACCAAAACCACGGUGGAAAUGUCAGCGCUGAGGUGACACAUUGCAGCAUGGCUUGCGGCGGGCAGGUCGCGUUUAUUGUAACUGGGUAACCUGAGUCCAUCCCGUCCCUGGUCCCCAGCCCUGCUGCCCCAUUUUAACACUGCCAAUCAAGCCAAUCCUGCUGUGGAAAACUGAAAGGAGAAAAGACACUGAAUUUACUACGACAGAAGGAAAGCCCAGGAACUAAAGAUGUAUUAAGAAGAGAGAGCCGGGCGUGGUGGUGCACACCUGUCAUCCAGCACUCGGGAGGCUGAGGCAGGAGGAUCGCUACGAUUUUUCAGUUUCGAAGAAUUCCUGGCCUCUCCUCCCAGCCGUGAAAACCGAAAAACGUUUUCCAGACACUGCAAAAUUCCCAGUGAGAGCCACUUAGGACGGCUAUCACAGGUUGACACAACUCCAUUUCCGCCUCCAGUCACAGCUGAGACCUCAGUAAUCCCAUGGUGCUCCGGGGCAGGAGUGCAUCAGCCGAAGACGUCCUGGGAAGAACAAACUCCUCAUCAACAUAAGUUCCUCAUGACCUAGGAUCUUCAUCUGCGUAAAUUCCUCAUUGUCCUAGGACUACGUUCGCCACCUUCUGAGUCAUCUGUUACUUCUGAUGUACCAAAUAAAGGAGACCAGGACUCACUGCAGGAGUUCCUGUAACGUCCCCUUUCCCUGUCCCUACACCUACGUCUUUAUUUCCUGCUUUGGACGCCAAAACGAAGCCACGGUGCCUCCGGCUGUGGCGGCCAUCUUGUGGCCGUGAGGAACCAGCGGGAGCAGAGCCGCGCUGCGCCUGGAAGGAGAGGCAGAAGGAGCCUUGGCUUCUGCUGCUCCAACCCUGGCAUUCACUUCCUUUUGUGAUGAGUUCCGUUAAGCGAACCCAGCUGUGGCCCCUGCCGUGCCUGCCCAGCUGUCCCACCUAAUGGCAUUUGCAGUCACAGGUCUGUUCCGCGCCCGUUUUUCCUCCUCUUCCUUCCUCGCCUGCCCCCGCUCACUGCUCAGGACUUAGCUCUGUACCCUCUCCGGGAAGUUUUCCUGGAGCCCCCCGUGUGGUCCCCACACUCGGACACACACCCAGGACGCAAGUGACCAGAGGUGCCCUUGAGCAGGGCUUUGGACCUCUGCAAUGUUUUUCCAACAUUUCUAUCAGCUCUUGUUUGCAGCCCGUGAUGUUACAUUCACCUAGGGGGCAGGUACAUGAGCUAAACAGAGCUUCUCUUUCUUACACCUCUCCCCACCACCUUGGUCUCUGGACCCCUUUUCCAUUUGCAAAAAGAUCUA